UCCUACGGGGGGCAGCAGUGGGGGAUAUUGCACAAUGGGGGAAACCCUGAUGCAGCGACGCCGCGUGAGUGAAGAAGUAUUUCGGUAUGUAAAGCUCUAUCGGCAGGGAAGAAAAAGCGCGCGAGCGCCCUUGACAGUACCUGACUAAGAAGCCCCGGCUAACUACGUGCCAGCAGCCGCGGUAAUACGGAGGAUGCGAGCGUUAUCCGGAUUUAUUGGGUUUAAAGGGUGCGCAGGCGGCGAGUUAAGUCAGCGGUAAAAUUUCGGGGCUCAACCCCGACGAGCCGUUGAAACUGGCUUGCUAG
rnacentral:rRNA from 1 species